CAGGUUUGCCACCGGCGGCAAAAAAGGGGACACACGCAGCACUGAGGAGGAACUGAGAAUGAAUGACCGAGUUCAAACAAAGUGGCCGUGAGUUUCUGUUGGGAAAGGAUCAAGAUCUGCGGCAAACUGUGCAGGAUUGCCUUCAUCUCCAAAAUCCGGGUUGCAGCCGGUGAUUGGCAGGAGGAGGAGAGUCUGACGGAGGAGCAGAGGAAUGUUGGCAGCCAUUUAGUCUGAGCUCAACAACGGAGGAAACAUGGAUUCUUCACAAAAAGUCAGGUUUUUUGGUCCUGCUGAAUUGGUCAGAGACUUUCUGUUCCGUGGCGUGCGAGGAGACGAGGCACACACGACGUGGGAUUUUAGAUGGCGAGCCAGACCCGUGAACUCUGUUUUCAGUGACAAGAACUCAUCUUCAUCGUGCCAGUGAGGACACUGCUGUCGCUUUGGAGCUGUUGGUAAACUCGCUGCCUGAGUGGUAGGAGUAUUGGAUUCUUUCUUUUUCCUCUAUUUGAACUAAACUGAGUUGGAGUAAACAACUGAACUGGAACUGAGAACAUAAUUGGAACUGAACUUGAAGUGAAACUGAAAUGUUACAUGUUCAUGGUUGUUCAUAAUCAUCAGUUAUGAGUGAGAUGGGAUUGUGUUGCAAUUCAUUUUCAUUUGGGAAUUGUGGUUUUACUUUUUUUACCUGUGAAAUAGAAGGAAGAGUUAACUCAAGAGUAGGGCUUAACGAUUUUGGAAAAUAAUCUAAUUGCGAUUAUUUUUGGAGAUAUUGCGAUUGCGAUUUAAUAUGCGAUUAUUUUUUCAAACUACUAUUCUCAUGUAAAUGUCAUUGAUCACAACCAAUAAAUCAGUCUGUUUCAUAAUAAACUGUCAGAUUUAUUUAAAGUGCAAAUUGCAACACUGAAGAAAACCAAACGGUGGCUGUACCUAUUUAAAACUUCAAGUCUUAAUCUUUCACGUUGAAUAAAACGUGAUGUAAACAUGUGGACUGCACUUCUUACAUGCAGUCUGAACUUAACAGUACAGUCUAUACAUGAAUAAAUUAUAUAUGCAAAAAUAAAACUCACUGAUUCAGUAACAUUACCCAUCUGAAAGUGCAGGAAUAAUAAGAACAAAUGUCAGCUUGAACAUUUUAAGGGAAAUCAAACUCCCAGUGCAAAAUAAACUACUGUAUGUUAUUAUGAAACACUAAAGGAAAUACAGCAUUAUAUUCACUCAAUAACAGCUGCACACAAC